GUGAUCGUCAUGAGAGAAGUGAUUUUUUCUCAUUCCUUUGGUGUAUCUCUAAAGUUCCUACUCUGAGCCUUGGACCUCAUCAGGUAUUUCUGGAAAUCAGAAGACAGUUCCCAUAAAACCUGGAAAUUGGGAAAAUAUAGAGCCUAUAGAAUAUGAUACACAAUAUCACUAUAAUAUUUUAAAGCAAGCAAAAUAUGGAUGAAGUGAACACUGACAACAGAAUUGAAUGGAGAAUGAGCUCAGGACAUAUAGCAGAGCCCCCUUCCACGACCUCCACUAGCAUCUUGCAGAAUUGAAAGUCAGAACAAAGGGGUGAGAAGAGACCAACAGAACACAAGACCUGACACGUCUGUGAAGAAUGACAGAGAGAAGCCCAAGUCAUUUUCCAGAGCUAGUUCUUUGUGCUUACUAUUGCAGAUUGCCUUAAAAGGUAUGUGCC